rnacentral:rRNA from 1 species
AGUGAACGCUGGCGGCGUGCUUAACACAUGCAAGUCGAACGAGAACGGGUUAUAGCUUGCUAUAAUUGUCAGCUAAGUGGCGCACGGGUGAGUAAUGUAUAGGUAAUAUGCCUCUUACUAAGGGAUAACAAAUGGAAACGUUUGCUAAUACCUUAUACUCCUUAUCAACAGAAGUUAAUAAGGGAAAGAUUUAUUGGUAAGAGAUUAGCCUGUAUUGUAUCAGUUAGUUGGUGGGGUAAUGGCUUACCAAGACUAUGACACAUAACUGGUUUGGGAGAAUGAUAAGUCACACUGGAACUGAGACGCGGUCCAGACUCCUACGGGAGGCAGCAGUGGGGAAUAUUGCACAAUGGACGAAAGUCUGAUGCAGCAACGCCGCGUGGAGGAUGACACAUUUCGGUGCGUAAACUCCUUUUAUAUGAGAAGAUAAUGACGGUAUUAUAUGAAUAAGCACCGGCUAACUCCGUGCCAGCCGCCGCCGUAAUAC